GACGAACGCUGGCGGCGUGCCUAAUACAUACAAGUUGAGCGAGGAAGCUUGGUGCUUGCACCAAUUUGAAGAGCAGCGAACGGGUGGGUAACGCGUGGGGAAUCUGCCUUUGAGCGGGGGACAACAUUUGGAAACGAAUGCUAAUACCGCAUAACAACUUUAAACAUAAGUUUUAAGUUUGAAAGAUGCAAUUGCAUCACUCAAAGAUGAUCCCGCGUUGUAUUAGCUAGUUGGUGAGGUAAAGGCUCACCAAGGCGAUGAUACAUAGCCGACCUGAGAGGGUGAUCGGCCACAUUGGGACUGAGACACGGCCCAAACUCCUACGGGAGGCAGCAGUAGGGAAUCUUCGGCAAUGGACGAAAGUCUGACCGAGCAACGCCGCGUGAGUGAAGAAGGUUUUCGGAUCGUAAAACUCUGUUGGUAGAGAAGAACGUUGGUGAGAGUGGAAAGCUCAUCAAGUGACGGAAACUACCCAGAAAGGGACGGCUAACUACGG
rnacentral:rRNA from 1 species